GCCUCAGUAACGGCGAGUGAAGCGGCAACAGCUCAAAUUUGAAAUCUGAAGUCUCCGGCUUCCGAGUUGUAAUUUGAAGAGGAUGCCUCGGUUGCAGCCCCGGCCUAAGUUCCUUGGAACAGGAUGUCGCAGAGGGUGAGAAUCCCGUACGCGGCUGGCGGCUUGCUUCCAUGUGUGGCUCCUUCGAAGAGUCGAGUUGUUUGGGAAUGCAGCUCAAAAUGGGUGGUAAAUUUCAUCUAAAGCUAAAUACUGGCGAGAGACCGAUAGCGCACAAGUAGAGUGAUCGAAAGAUGAAAAGCACUUUGAAAAGAGAGUUAAACAGUACGUGAAAUUGUUGAAAGGGAAGCGCUUGCAAUUAGACUUGCUUUCGGUUGAUCAACGUUCCUUCUGGUUCGUGCACUCUGCCGUUUGCAGGCCAGCAUCGGUUAGGGCGGUGGGACAAAGGCUCCAGGAAUGUGGCUCUCUUCGGGGAGUGUUAUAGCCUGGUGCGCAAUGCCACCUGUCCUGACCGAGGUCCGCGCUUUUGCUAGGAUGCUGGCUUAAUAGUUGUAAGCGACCCGUCUUGAAACACGGACCAAGGAGUCUAACAUCUAUGCGAGUGUUUGGGUGUCAAACCCAUACGCGUAAUGAAAGUGAACGGAGGUGGGAGUCUUCGGAUGCACCAUCGACCGAUCCUGAUGUUCUCGGAUGGAUUUGAGUAUGAGCAUAGCUGUUGGGACCCGAAAGAUGGUGAACUAUGCCUGAAUAGGGUGAAGCCAGAGGAAACUCUGGUGGAGGCUCGCAGCGGUUCUGACGUGCAAAUCGAUCGUCAAAUUUGGGUAUAGGGGCGAAAGACUAAUCGAACCAUC
rnacentral:rRNA from 1 species